UAUAUAUAUAUAUAUAUACGUAUAUGUGUGUAUAUGUAUAUAUAUACAUAAUGGGUGGCCUAAAAGUAGGUUUACUGUUAUCAUGUAGGCACUUCCAAUUUCUUUUAAAACAUUUUAUUACAUUUAAAUCUCUGUCUUACAAACUGAAAAGGGACCUUGACAAGUUUAA